UCUAGCGGGGCGGCCGCACCCGAUCCCAUUCCGAACUCGGCCGUGAAACGCCCCAGCGCCCAUGAUACUUCGUCUCAAGACGCGGGAAAGUCGGUCGCCGCCAGGU
rnacentral:rRNA from 1 species